UCAAGACUCCAUUCCUUCGUCUCUUUAUUCCAACAAUGGAGAAACAUCCGCUCUUUCUCAAAGUGUUCAGAAUUUUAUCUUCUCCAAAUAUUCAAGGCUUUCAUUUUAACUUCAUCUUCUCAUCUGGAUGUGCAAUUUUAGGUAGACUUCAUGGCUGAUAUGUUGUUGUACUGUCUAAUCGCUCCAUAAUUUCAUGAUUGAUGAUAAAUUACACCCCAUCACUUUUUCCCUGCAGGUGUGUAAAUUUUUUCCCCGAAUUUUUUUUCAGUUCUCUUCGGAUUUUCUAUUUUUGGUGGCUGAAAUUUAUUCCGUACUAUUUUUAUCUUGAGCCAAAGUUUAUCGAAAACAGUUUUCUAUCUCACCUCCGAGGUAGAUGUAAGAUCUUCCUACAAUCUAUACACCUAUAUCCUACUUUGUAGGACUAUACUGGUAUGUUGUUGUUGUUGUCGUGUUAGUGACUGAAUUUGAAUAUUAGUGGUGAUUCUUGAAUUUGAAUUUGAUUUGUUGCACAACAACCAGAAGUUAUUCGUCAACAAACUGGUUAUUGAGUUGGCCAUUAUUGUGGGGAAAUGGGCCAAGAUUUUUGGGAUGCACAAAGGUGGCAGCGUGAGUUUGAAACUAAACAGGAAAUAGAUGCAAACCAUAUGGGAAGAAUAUAGCAGUGAAGUGGUAUAUGUUAACAUCAAAUUGCAAAUUGCAUUCAACAGUAUAUCAAACCUGGUAUGAUCAUAUCAAUUUAUGUUUCAAUGUCUUACAUGACGCGUACUGAUAUUCCUAUUAAAGAAAGCCACAUAUUUUUUGCUAUUAUGAAAAAAAUAAAUUUGUGACAGGUAACAAUAUCUACAUCACUUUGUGCUGGCAGAAGUUUUUGCUAUUCAAGAAUAUCAGUGACAAUUGAGUUCAUCUUAGGAGGAAUCUAAAAACUCUUAACAAAGUUUUAGCUUCUUCUACAUAGUUCUCUUUACACCAAAAAUGAAAAGUCAAAAUACAAUUCAUGUUCGUUUUUGUAAUGAACUACUUAUAUUCUCAAAACACCUUCCAUUUCUUUCUUUCUACACGGUCCACGUAUGCAUGUUGGGAUAGUUUUUCUUAAUUUCCCUCCUACAUUGUUCUUGAUUUAAAAAAAUUCCUCCUAUAUUAUUACAGUACCUUAAAAGAUCACAUGUUUGGAUGGUUGUUACUUAUUGAAUUGUAUUGUGUUGUUAGUUUAAAUACAUAUUUGGUUUGAUUCUUACUUAGAUUUUAUUGUAUCACAUCGUUAAAUCCAUGUCAAUGUCAGGUAAUGACAAAAGAUUUCAUUUUGUGUGACAACCAAUUUGGUGGGAUCAUGUGGCUAUGUUAUUUCUUUUUCUCAGUUUGUAUUUACUUAUUAUUUAAGAAUCGUAUUUUAGUAUCUCUACUCGUGCCAUACUUCUUCUUUUUGGUAAGUUUAUCCUUCAAAUUUUGAUGUGUUACAUUAUGUAAUAAUGGAAAAUAAUAUAAUCUACCCAAACUUUGUAUUCAUUAAACAAUACAGUACGAUACAAUGUAACACAAUAAAAUACGAUAUGCUAUGAAAUAAUAUGGAACAACCAUCCAGAGUGUAGUGAAUAUAGCAAUAAUAUUCAUUUUGACAAUAGAUUUGAACUUUAACAUUAACAUAUUUUUUUUGAAGAAUUUUCCACUGUGUAAUGCCGUUAGGUCGUUUUGUAUACUUCCACAACUGUUGCAGCUCUGUUGUUAGAGUUGUUAGGAAUCAUAUUUUUAUUCUGGUGGUCUUUUGUAGGUCGAAUAGGUAUUGUUGAUCAUGAUAUAAUGGAACUUAACAAUCUGCAGAGGCGGAUAGUUUUUAAAUAGCUAUGUGUUUUAUGCGCUGGCUAUUGAAUUUGAUGCAUAAUUUUUUUCCAAGUGAUUUUGAGAUUUUAGCCAUUUGUGUUAAUAAGCUUAUUGGCUAUGGUGUUGACAUUGUAUUCCAGAUAAUACACACUGAAGCAUGUAUUGGAAUGUCAAAAGUAGAGUCAACUGUUGCUGCUUGUUACUUUAUCAACUCCACCACUCAGAUUGUGGAGCACAAAGAAGCAUUCCGCACGUCCAAUGCCUUAAGAGAUUGUGAGCAAAUAUGAUGUGGUAGUUGAUGCAACAGACAAUCGUCCAAGCCACUACAUGAUCAAUGAUUGUUGCGUGUUUCUUGGGAGGCUGACAGUCUACAAUUACAAUGGAGGUCUAUGCUAUCGAUGCCUAUUUCCAACUCCUCUACCCACAGUUAAGCAUACUCUGUCAAAGGGGAAUCCUCAUUUAGUUUAUGGAGCACGUGUUUUGGUGAAACCUUACAGGGAAAAGUCCAAGCUGUAGAUAGAAAGAUCCAGGAGAAAGCUUAUCAAGCUUCCUAUUUUAAUCCAUCUUUCACUGCUGUACAAUCUGAGCACCAAUCUUAUAAGAUUCACUUCACCUCAAACUGUGGAAAUCUACCUUAUGCUUUAAUACCUUUCUUGAUUAGAUUUUUCAUAGGAGUAAUAUUCAUAUCAUUUUCUGCUUUUAGCACAGAGUAUAUGAAAAUGCAAGACUAUUGAAAAUCGAGUUUGAGAAGCGGCGUUUUCCAGAGUUUCAACAUUAUCAAAUGCGUGUUCGCUACUCAGCGGAGGAUUUGAAGUUUUCUUCAGAAGGCCAUAAUGAACAACUAGAGUUUCUAUCGGAUGAGGAUUUUUCUGACAUGAAAGAUGUAUAGAACAAUGGUUCCACCAGUGACGACGAAACUAGACACAUUGAGACGAAUCACUGUGACCAAGAAAGGCAAGUCAUUUUGAUAAAUCACAUAUAUGUACAAUUUAACAUGUUAUAACAAACCCGGCUAAAUGAAGUUAUUGGAAAAUGUUACUUUUUGCAA